GUCUCCGUGGCGCAAUUGGUUAGCGCGUUCGACUGUUAAUAGAGAGGUUGACAGUUCAAUCCUGUCCGGGGACG
rnacentral:tRNA from 1 species